UACAGGGGAUGCAAGCGUUAUCCGGAAUGAUUGGGCGUAAAGCGUCUGUAAGUGGCUUUUUAAGUCCGCCGUCAAAUCCCAGGGCUCAACUCUGGACAGGCGGUGGAAACUACCAAGCUGGAGUACGGUAGGGGCAGAGGGAAUUUCCGGUGGAGCGGUGAAAUGCGUAGAGAUCGGAAAGAACACCAACGGCGAAGGCAGUGUCCUGGGGAGUACCUGACGCUCAGGUGCGAAAGCCAGGGGAGCGAACGGG
rnacentral:rRNA from 1 species